CAGCAUCCAACACUGUGAAAGGCCACAUCUUCAACAGGGAGUGAACAGUAUCUCUACCUUUAGCCUUCCAGAAUCUCUGAAAGGCCGUCUCCCUGCAGACAUUUCUUUGUAUAGUUCAAAUUCCCAAGAGAUAGAUUCUGGUUAUCUGUUGGUGAAGCAAUGAAUUCACUGGCCUUCAGUCAGAGAUUCCUCCCUGCCCAACAGCAGUGCCUGGGAAGUGGGAUACCAUGGU
rnacentral:lncRNA from 1 species